ensembl:snRNA
GUGUUGCAUGAAAGGAAAGAAAGUUAGCACUCCCCUUGACAAGGAUGGAAGAGGCCCCUGGGCCUUACAACAAGCGUACGGUCAUAUGGCAAGUCUGGAAGACAGGAGAUGCCGUCAGAGUUCAGAACUGAGAUGGGGCUUUAAAUUCGU